rnacentral:rRNA from 1 species
UACGAAGGGGGCUAGCGUUGCUCGGAAUCACUGGGCGUAAAGCGCACGUAGGCGGCUUUUUAAGUCAGAGGUGAAAUCCUGGAGCUCAACUCCAGAACUGCCUUUGAUACUGGAGAGCUUGAGUCCGGGAGAGGUGAGUGGAACUGCGAGUGUAGAGGUGAAAUUCGUAGAUAUUCGCAAGAACACCAGUGGCGAAGGCGGCUCACUGGCCCGGUACUGACGCUGAUGCGCGAAAGCGUGGGGAGCAAACGGG